GCUAAUAGUAUAACAUUUGUGCGUACUUCCUAAUCAAUUUCUUUUUUGUCAUUUUAUCAAGUUAACCAUUAGUUUUUAAGAAAAACUAAUAAUAAGGGCUUCAAAACUUUACAUUUUAACCGAAAACCACGAAUUUCCGAGCAAGAUUGGCCCAAGCAACGAAUUUCCGAUUUUACCCUAACGGCAAACAUUGCGCCGUUUGUUUUGCCCGUUUCAUUCUAGAUGAAGAGAGAGUAAUUUUUGUACAACUUCUACAAGAUUCUACGGAUCUGAUACUCAUUUUCUCUCUGCUAGUUUCUCAUCUCUGUUAAUCAAGGAGAUUUCGUAUGUCUUGAUUCUGUGAUUCUCCGAUUCAUCAGGUAAUUUUCUUUUCAAACUAAAUCAAAAUCCACCUCUUCCUUCGUCAUGGGACGCAAAGCCCAAGCUUCGACCUCCUCCAAUGGAAAUCUGCGCGUAUGCACAGCAUAGUACGCAUUUAUGGUUGGGCUAAAUCUUGGCUCUUUUAUCUUUUAAGGUGGGGAAUUGUUGCACAUAUGUACGUUGGUGAGAAUUCUGAUGGUGAAUUAGGAAGCACAGAUAUGUUCCAAGGACUACAGCUCCGUUCAGAAAUUCACCGUCUCCCCCUACAGCGAUGUCUUCGUGAUCAUACUUUCUAUGAUAUUGGGGAUGUCUCAGCACCAGAAAGGCAGUGUACAGACAAUUUAUCUCAGAUGUUACCAGACCUUGAAAAUGCUCUCGUGGAGAAGAAGAUGCCCAAAGAGAAUUGGCUCUAAUUUAAUAGAUUAUACAAGGUUGGUAUCGGUUUAGAUUGAUAUAAUUUGUCAUUGGGGUAUCAAAUCCCAGAUGAUUUGAUAUGAAUGUUGAUUACAAUAGUCUGAAUGUUUCUAUAACUACCACAUAACUGCUAAGCUUGUUAUCUAGUUUGAGAAUCGAGAUUAGUGAAGGCAUAUUCUAAUGGUAUUUGAAAGGUAAGGCCUCCAAAUACAUGCAUUUGCCUUUGCUAUAAGUGCAAUCUACUAUCCCUUCCAUGGAAAAA